AUCUAAGGAAGGCAGCAGGCGCGCAAAUUACCCAAUCCUAAUACAGGGAGGUAGUGACAAGAAAUAACAAUACAGGACUUUUUGGUUUUGUAAUUGGAAUGAGUUAAGUAUAAACCCCUUUACAAGUAUCAAUUGGAGGGCAAGUCUGGUGCCAGCAGCCGCGGUAAUUCCAGCUCCAAUAGCGUAUAUUAAAGUUGUUGCAGUUAAAAAGCUCGUAGUUGGAUUUCUGUUAAUAAUUUAUAUAAUAUAUUUUGAUGAAUAUUUAUAUAAUAUUAACAUGAUUCAUAUUACUAUUUUUUUUUAGUAUAUGAAAUUUUACUUUGAGAAAAUUAGAGUGCUUAAAGCAGGCAUAUGCCUUGAAUAC
rnacentral:rRNA from 1 species